UCUGCUGGAGAAAUCCACCUCAGCUUCAUCAUCUUCAUCAUCUGGAGCCUGAAAGAGGCAGAAACACUUCAGUCCAAACCAGCAGCUGAUAAAUCACCAUGAAAACCACCAUCAUCAUCAUCGCAGACAGCAGGGCGGCGAUGGCGGCCAGGGCUGGAAGCACAAACAGCCAAACAUCUGCAGCGGAUUGGGAAGGAGAACCUGCUGGUGUCACACUGCUGGUGUCUGAGUUUUCCCUGCAGAAGAUCUUCCUGCUUCCAGAGAAAGAAGAGCCACAAUGUCCUGAGAAAUCUUCUCCUGCUGAUCCAGUAAAC